AGCGAACGCUGGCGGCAGGCCUAACACAUGUAAGUCGAACGAACUCUUCGGAGUUAGUGGCGGACGGGUGAGUAACACGUGGGAACGUGCCUUUAGGUUCGGAAUAACUCAGGGAAACUUGUGCUAAUACCGAAUGUGCCCUUCGGGGGAAAGAUUUAUCGCCUUUAGAGCGGCCCGCGUCUGAUUAGCUAGUUGGUGAGGUAAAGGCUCACCAAGGCGACGAUCAGUAGCUGGUCUGAGAGGAUGAUCAGCCACAUUGGGACUGAGACACGGCCCAAACUCCUACGGGAGGCAGCAGUGGGGAAUCUUGCGCAAUGGGCGAAAGCCUGACGCAGCCAUGCCGCGUGAAUGAUGAAGGUCUUAGGAUUGUAAAAUUCUUUCACCGGGGACGAUAAUGACGGUACCCGGAGAAGAAGCCCCGGCUAACUUCGUG
rnacentral:rRNA from 1 species